rnacentral:sRNA from 1 species
ACGCCAUGCAGCUGAAACAGGAAGCCAACACUGAACCCCGAAAACGGUUUCACUUGUUAUCUCGCCUACGCAAGGCCGUGAAGCAUGCAGAGGAAUUGGAACGCUUGUGUGAGAGCAAUCGCGUGGAUGCCAAGACCAAAUUAGAGGCUCAGGCUUACACAGCUUACCUCUCAGGAAUGCUACGUUUUGAACAUCAAGAAUGGAAAGCUGCCAUUGAGGCUUUUAACAAAUGCAAGUAAGUCCUAUAGUCCAAAGGCUGUGGCCAGUUUUAAUUAUAGAUAGUCAAAUUUAAGCUGCAGAUCAGAUAAUGGAUUGUUUCUGUGAAAGUGAGGGUGACUUUUCUUUCCUAUAAAAAUGUUGAUGACUCUUUCAUCCUUAGAACAUGCCAGUUAUGGUAGUUGGUAGGAGAGCUUCAAAAGGCCAUAAUUUGUUUUUAGUCAUUGUGUUCCCCAUGAGUUUUUCUUAUAUACGGCUGAUGUAAAACCUGGCUUUUCUUUUCUUGCAGAACUAUCUAUGAGAAGCUAGCCAGUGCUUUCACAGAGGAGCAGGCUGUGCUGUAUAACCAACGUGUGGAA